CUACAGGUUUAUAAAUAAGGCUCCUUAACAAACACUUCAAAAUCAGUAAAAAAAAACCCUCUGAUAAUUUUAGAUCUUGGCUUUUCCUACUCCUUGAAGAGAGCCAAAAGAGAAACACCAAAAACAUUAACCACCUUGACCCUAACUGCAGGAAUAUCACCAACAGCAUGAGCCUUUCACCCAAAUCUUGGGCUCAAAACGUUGCCUAUUUAGUUCAAGGAACCAUCAUUGGCAAAAUGGGAACAAAAGAGACAAUCUUCUUGUUGUUCUUGAUAAGUUGAACU
rnacentral:lncRNA from 1 species